ACGUGGGAACAUACCUCAUAGUACGGAAUAACUGCGGGAAACUGUAGCUAAUACCGUAUAUUCCAGUAAUGGGAAAGAUUUAUCGCUAUGAGAUUGGCCCGCGCAAGAUUAGCUUGUUGGUGAGGUAAUGGCUCACCAAGGCUCCGAUCUUUAGCUGGUUUGAGAGGACGAUCAGCCACACUGGGACUGAGACACGGCCCAGACUCCUACGGGAGGCAGCAGUAGGGAAUAUUGGACAAUGGGGAAACCCGUACGAUCCAGCAAUAGCAGCGUGAGUGACGAAGGCCCUACGGUUGGUAA
rnacentral:rRNA from 1 species